AGUUGUAAAAGUAGGGUUAAAAUAGUAAAAUCAUCUAUUUUUCUUUCAAAAGUGCAUAACGUGUACUGCUUUAUGCAGAAGCACGUGUAGCACUAUUCUCACGCUUUUGCUUUACUCUCCCUUCUCUCCCACUUUCUUCUUCUUCCUUCUUUCGACAAUGUAGAAUGUUCUCCACAUCUAUUCUCACGCUUGCUCUGCUGUUUGUCAAAUUCUGAUAUCGUCUUUAAUCUCUGUUUCGCCCUCGAAUUCCUCUUCGUACCUGUUGUAUUACGAUAAUGGUUGUGGUCACGUGUUUGACGAAAUUCCCCAAUGAAGGCAAUACUUAUUUGUUAUGAAAAUUGAUCAGUUUCAACAGCUGGGUUGUCUUGACAGAUGUUAAUGAAGUUGAACUAUCUACUAAGGGUGAUUCAUUGAGCAAGAAUUUGAGUUGUCGAAUUUUUUGGUGCUGCCAUGAAAUUAGCAAUUAUAUCGAAGGCUAAAAACUCAGGGUAAGCUUUCAUUGUUCAUCUUUUUGUUGUACCAACUUUUCGGGAAAAAAAUCAGCUACUAAUAUAGUAAUUUGAGGGCUAUAUGUCUAGGAAUAAGAGAUGUCUUAUUAAAUAUGACUAAAUCUGUUAGCACAUUAGAGAGUGAGCAAAAGCUUGAAACAAAUUUGAAAAUUAUUCAUUUACUUAUUAUGUAAACUAUUUGGUUAACUAGGAAUAAGAGAUUUCUUGUUAAAUCUAACUAAAUCUGUUAACACAAUAUCACGGGAUUUGAAAUACAAACAGAAUACAAUGGACUACCAACUAGAAGCUUAUGUGAUAUAGAUGUAUUUGGGAGGAUGUAAUUCAGCUCGAACGAAGUCAGAGGGUAUGAAUUCCUAAAUCCAUUUACCUCGACCAGGAUCAACUCCUUCUAUGCGACAUGAUUUGUGAGGAUUCAUAUAGCCAACUUCUACUUGUUUGGGGUUGACCAUAGUUGUUUUAACUAUAUUUUAUGGCAAGUCCAACUGCAGUUGGCAAGGAUGUGAGUAUUUGCACAUAUUGUUGCCUUACUUCUUAUUCAAAAUUGAGAAAUUCGCUCGAAAUGGAACCUAGAUUGAUUUUAAAUCCAUUUGUGUACUGAACAAGUAAUCAUACAAAUCUAUCCUUGAGCUAUUUGUUCUUGCGAGGCUAAAUCUCAGGUGCUAAGAUAGUUGACCUCAACGAACUACUAUAUUUGUUUGAAAUCCCUAUUGCUUUAGAGAAACAAGUGUUA